rnacentral:rRNA from 1 species
AGAGUUUGAUCCUGGCUCAGGACGAACGCUGGCGGCGUGCCUAAUACAUGCAAGUCGAGCGGACAGAUGGGAGCUUGCUCCCUGAUGUUAGCGGCGGACGGGUGAGUAACACGUGGGUAACCUGCCUGUAAGACUGGGAUAACUCCGGGAAACCGGGGCUAAUACCGGAUGGUUGUUUGAACCGCAUGGUUCAAACAUAAAAGGUGGCUUCGGCUACCACUUACAGAUGGACCCGCGGCGCAUUAGCUAGUUGGUGAGGUAACGGCUCACCAAGGCGACGAUGCGUAGCCGACCUGAGAGGGUGAUCGGCCACACUGGGACUGAGACACGGCCCAGACUCCUACGGGAGGCAGCAGUAGGGAAUCUUCCGCAAUGGACGAAAGUCUGACGGAGCAACGCCGCGUGAGUGAUGAAGGUUUUCGGAUCGUAAAGCUCUGUUGUUAGGGAAGAACAAGUGCCGUUCGAAUAGGGCGGUACCUUGACGGUACCUAACCAGAAAGCCACGGCUAACUACGUGCCAGCAGCCGCGGUAAUACGUAGGUGGCAAGCGUUGUCCGGAAUUAUUGGGCGUAAAGGGCUCGCAGGCGGUUUCUUAAGUCUGAUGUGAAAGCCCCCGGCUCAACCGGGGAGGGUCAUUGGAAACUGGGGAACUUGAGUGCAGAAGAGGAGAGUGGAAUUCCACGUGUAGCGGUGAAAUGCGUAGAGAUGUGGAGGAACACCAGUGGCGAAGGCGACUCUCUGGUCUGUAACUGACGCUGAGGAGCGAAAGCGUGGGGAGCGAACAGGAUUAGAUACCCUGGUAGUCCACGCCGUAAACGAUGAGUGCUAAGUGUUAGGGGGUUUCCGCCCCUUAGUGCUGCAGCUAACGCAUUAAGCACUCCGCCUGGGGAGUACGGUCGCAAGACUGAAACUCAAAGGAAUUGACGGGGGCCCGCACAAGCGGUGGAGCAUGUGGUUUAAUUCGAAGCAACGCGAAGAACCUUACCAGGUCUUGACAUCCUCUGACAAUCCUAGAGAUAGGACGUCCCCUUCGGGGGCAGAGUGACAGGUGGUGCAUGGUUGUCGUCAGCUCGUGUCGUGAGAUGUUGGGUUAAGUCCCGCAACGAGCGCAACCCUUAUCCUUUGUUGCCAGCGGUCCGGCCGGGAACUCAAAGGAGACUGCCAGUGAUAAACUGGAGGAAGGUGGGGAUGACGUCAAGUCAUCAUGCCCCUUACGACCAGGGCUACACACGUGCUGCAAUGGCGCAUACAAAGAGAAGCGACCUCGCGAGAGCAAGCGGACCUC